rnacentral:rRNA from 1 species
UCCUCCCUCUGGCGGCGUGCUUAACACAUGCAAGUCGAACGGAAAGGCCUGCUUUCCCUUGUGGAUUGCGGGUACUCGAGUGGCGAACGGGUGAGUAACACGUGAGUGAUCUGCCCCCAACUUGGGUAUAAGCCUGGGAAACUGGGUCUAAUUCCCGAUAGGACUGCAGGGUGGUGCCUGUGGUGGAAAACGAUUUUCUAGUGGUUGGGGAUGAGCUCGCGGCCUAUCAGCUUGUUGGUGGGGUAAUGGCCUACCAAGGCGGCGACGGGUAGCCGGCCUGAGAGGGUGGACGGCCACAUUGGGACUGAGAUACGGCCCAGACGCCUACGGGAGGCAGCAGUGGGGAAUAUUGCACAAUGGGCGGAAGCCUGAUGCAGCGACGCCGCGGGGGGGAUGACGGCCUUCGGGUUGUAAACUCCUUUCGACCGCGAGGAAGCCACCUGGUUGGAAGGGUGGUGACGGUAGUGGUAGAAGAAGCACCGGCUAACUACGUG